rnacentral:rRNA from 1 species
CCCUACGGGGGGCAGCAGUGAGGAAUAUUGGUCAAUGGGCGCGAGCCUGAACCAGCCAAGUCGCGUGAGGGAAGACGGUCCUAUGGAUUGUAAACCUCUUUUGUCGGGGAGCAAAAGACGCCACGCGUGGCGUUCCGAGAGUACCCGAAGAAAAAGCAUCGGCUAACUCCGUGCCAGCAGCCGCGGUAAUACGGAGGAUGCGAGCGUUAUCCGGAUUUAUUGGGUUUAAAGGGUGCGUAGGCGGUCCGGAAAGUCAGCGGUAAAAGCCCGGGGCUCAACCCCGGCGAGCCGUUGAAACUGUCGGA